UACGAAGGGGGCUAGCGUUGCUCGGAAUCACUGGGCGUAAAGCGCACGUAGGCGGAUCUUUAAGUCAGGGGUGAAAUCCUGGAGCUCAACUCCAGAACUGCCUUCGAUACUGGGAGUCUUGAGUCCGGGAGAGGUGAGUGGAACUGCGAGUGUAGAGGUGAAAUUCGUAGAUAUUCGCAAGAACACCAGUGGCGAAGGCGGCUCACUGGCCCGGUACUGACGCUGAGGUGCGAAAGCGUGGGGAGCAAACAGG
rnacentral:rRNA from 1 species